rnacentral:rRNA from 1 species
GCAAGUCGAGCGCUACCUUCGGGGUUAGCGGCGGACGGGUGAGUAACGCGUGGGAAUAUACCCUUCUCUACGGAAUAGCCUCGGGAAACUGAGAGUAAUACCGUAUACGCCCUUCGGGGGAAAGAUUUAUCGGAGAAGGAUUAGCCCGCGUUGGAUUAGGUAGUUGGUGGGGUAAUGGCCUACCAAGCCGACGAUCCAUAGCUGGUUUGAGAGGAUGAUC